GAAAAGGAUAAGAAGAGUAGGUAGUAAGAGAGAGAGAGUUAUCAGAAAGAAAGAAAAGAAGAAAGGGAAGAGUAGAGAAGAGGAAAAGAGAAGAAAGAAGAAGAGAGAAAGAAGGAAGAAAGGCUUGGAGGAGAAAAGGAAAAGCUCAUCAUCACCAUUUUCUACUCAUCAUCCUCACCAACUUCAUCUUAUUCUUCUACUAGGUGAGUUUUUAGAUAGAUUUAGCCUUUGGUGGAAAAUAACCUAUGUUUGGGGGUUAGGAUUUGUGUGAAUUUGUUAUGAACUUGUUGUGUUCAUAUUCCUCAUCCAUGUUAUGUGUUGAUAUCAUGUUGUUGUUGUUUAAAUUGUGAUACUUGGGUGUUUAAUUUUGAUGUGUUUAAUUUUGAUGUGUUUUAUUGUUGAAGAUAUGGAGGUUAAUCACAUGAAAUCAUAACAAUAUAAGUUAUUCAUGAAAUAUUCCCAUGAAUCAUGAGUUAACCAUGUUUUCUAUGAUUAUGGUGUUGUUGAAAUUGAACAUGGUUGUUGAGGUUGUUAAGAACAUGUGUUUAUGAGGUUGAGGAUUCCUUGAGUGUUGGUUGCUGAUGGUUUAAUUCUAUCUACUUUUUCAAAAGACAUUCUAAAGGCGGAAUUGAAUGCAGUACACUCAGAAUUUUAAGAAAGACAAAAUGAUUCGGCAUAUAUUCUUAAUCAAUUUAGAUGCCACUCAUCAAAACAAGGCCACCAAUAUAACAAAGUGUUUUUAAUAGGAAACAAAGAGAGUUUGGGGGUGGAGGGGGAAGUCGGUUAUGAUGAUCUUUACGACCAAGUCUUUGAGUUCUACCGUAGUAAAUACUGCGGAAAGGUGAUGAAGUUAGUAGUUAUAGGAGGAGGUAGUUUUAAAUACUAAAUCUAUUAAAGUUUCAUUCUUACCAAUUCAUCACGUUGUAUAUUUAAAAUUAUCAUAUUUAGUACAUAAUGAACAUAUAUAUUGUCCUUACUAAGCUUCUUGUAUA